rnacentral:tRNA from 1 species
AAAAAAGCCGGAAUAGCUCAGUUGGUAGAGCAGAGGACUGAA